AAAAGUAGAGGUGCGUUAUUCAUAAGUAGGGUGGUGGAUGUAACAGAUACAUAAGAAGCCAUUUGAAAGGGGAUGACGCCGAAGUGGAAGGAAUGCUGGUUCUGACUGCUGGGGGCAUGAUUAACAGUUAUGUCACUGUCACCUUUUAGAAUUUGCGAUUGCAGUUCUUGGGGUGGAGGGCUACUUAA
rnacentral:ncRNA from 1 species